CCUACGGGUGGCAGCAGUGAGGAAUUUUGCGCAAUGGGGGAAACCCUGACGCAGCAACGCCGCGUGAGUGAAGAAGGCCUUCGGGUCGUAAAGCUCUGUCAAGAGGGAAGAAGGAGGGAUGCAGUAACACUGUAUUUUUUUGACGGUACCUCUGAAGGAAGCACCGGCUAACUCCGUGCCAGCAGCCGCGGUAAUACGGGGGGUGCAAGCGUUAUUCGGAUUUAUAGGGCGGAAGGAGCGGCCCGGCGGUCAACCUGGGAAGUGCACUUGAAACUAGUAGACUUGAGUAUGGGAGAGGGGAGUGGAAUUCCUGGUGUAGAGGUGAAAUUCGUAGAUAUCAGGAGGAACACCGGUGGCGAAGGCGACUUCCUGGACCAAUACUGACGCUGAGGCGCGAAGGCGUGGGGAGCAAACAGGAUUAGAUACCCUGGUAGUC
rnacentral:rRNA from 1 species